CAGUUUAACGGCCGCGGUACCCUAACCGUGCGAAGGUAGCAUAAUCACUUGUUUCUUAAAUAGAGACUAGUAUCAACGGCAUCACGAAGACUAUACUGUCUCCCCCCUAAAAUCAAUGAAACUGAUCUCCUCGUGAAGAAGCGAGGAUAUACAUAUAAGACGAGAAGACCCCAUGGAGCUUUAAACGAACUUCAACUGUUCCUACUGAUAGCAUACAAAUUGAACACCUCUGAUAGGUAGUUUUAGGUUGGGGUGACCGCGGAGUAAAAUAAAACCUCCACAAUGAAUGUAAUAAAAUUCUUAUAAAAGAACUACAAUUCUAAUAAUCAAAAAUUUGACAUAAAUUGACCCAAACACUUGAUCAAUGAACCAAGUUACCCUGGGGAUAACAGCGCAAUCCAUUUUAAGAGCCCAUAUCGACAAAUGGGUUUACGACCUCGAUGUUG
rnacentral:rRNA from 1 species